UACGUAGGGGGCAAGCGUUGUCCGGAAUCAUUGGGCGUAAAGAGCGUGUAGGCGGCCAGAUAAGUCCGCUGUGAAAUCUCGAGGCUCAACUUCGAGCUGUCGGUGGAAACUGUCUGGCUAGAGUCCGGAAGAGGAGAAUGGAAUUCCUGGUGUAGCGGUGAAAUGCGCAGAUAUCAGGAAGAACACCCGUGGCGAAGGCGGUUCUCUGGGACGGUACUGACGCUGAGGUGCGAAAGCGUGGGAGCAAACAGG
rnacentral:rRNA from 1 species